UACAGAGGUCCCAAGCGUUGUUCGGAUUCACUGGGCGUAAAGGGUGCGUAGGCGGUCGGGUAAGUCUGGCGUGAAAUCUCCAAGCCUAACUUGGAAACUGCGUUGGAUACUAUCCGGCUCGAGGAAUGGAGGGGAGACUGGAAUACUUGGUGUAGCAGUGAAAUGCGUAGAUAUCAAGUGGAACACCAGUGGCGAAGGCGGCCCACUGGGCCGGUACUGACGCUGAGGCGCGAAGGCGUGGGGAGCGAACGGG
rnacentral:rRNA from 1 species